AACGAACGCUGGCGGCAUGCCUAACACAUGCAAGUCGAACGAGACCUUCGGGUCUAGUGGCGCACGGGUGCGUAACGCGUGGGAACCUGCCCUUAGGUUCGGAAUAACUCCCCGAAAGGGGUGCUAAUACCGGAUAAUGUCUUCGGACCAAAGAUUUAUCGCCUUUGGAUGGGCCCGCGUUGGAUUAGCUAGUUGGUAGGGUAAAAGCCUACCAAGGCGACGAUCCAUAGCUGGUCUGAGAGGAUGAUCAGCCACACUGGGACUGAGACACGGCCCAGACACCGAGAGGACGCAGAGGUGGAGAGUAGAGGACACUGGGGGAAAGCCUGAUACAGCAGGGCGGAGGGAGUGAUGAAGGCGUGAGGGUUGAAAAGUUCUUGCACUCGGGAAGAUAAGAACAGCGCCGAGAGAAUACGCUCCGGCUAACGCCGUGCCAGCGGACGCUGUAAUCCGCGGAGGAGCACACGUCGGAGC
rnacentral:rRNA from 1 species